UACGUAGGGUGCAAGCGUUAAUCGGAAUUACUGGGCGUAAAGCGUGCGCAGGCGGUUAUGUAAGACAGAUGUGAAAUGCCCGGGCUUAACCUGGGAACUGCAUUUGUGACUGCAUGGCUAGAGUUUGGCAGAGGGGGGUAGAAUUCCACGUGUAGCAGUGAAAUGCGUAGAUAUGUGGAGGAACACCGAUGGCGAAGGCAGCCCCCUGGGUCAAGACUGACGCUCAUGCACGAAAGCGUGGGAG
rnacentral:rRNA from 1 species